GUCUUCAUUGUGAUCGGAACCGGUUGUCUGUUAGGCAUGUUGACUGGUCGUCUAUCGUCUGCCUUUUGGGUGGAUGUGUCGGCCAUGAGUGUUGAGAGGCACGAGUGUUCCAAACUUAAUCUCGGGAGCGAGUUGCCGGGAGCGUGGU
rnacentral:rRNA from 1 species